UCCGGUUUGUCACCGGCAGUCUCGCAUGAGUCCCCAACUAAAUGCUGGCAACAUACGACGGGGGUUGCGCUCGUUGCGGGACUUAACCCAACAUCUCACGACACGAGCUGACGACAGCCAUGCAGCACCUGUGCAAGCUCCCCUUGCGGGGUCGUCCCACUUUCAUGGUUCUACCACUUGCAUGUCAAGGCCAGGUAAGGUGGGGAUGACGUGUCGUUACCUUA
rnacentral:misc_RNA from 1 species